rnacentral:rRNA from 1 species
AUUGAACGCUGGCGGCAGGCCUAACACAUGCAAGUCGAGCGGAUGAAGGGAGCUUGCUCCUGGAUUCAGCGGCGGACGGGUGAGUAAUGCCUAGGAAUCUGCCUGGUAGUGGGGGAUAACGUCCGGAAACGGGCGCUAAUACCGCAUACGUCCUGAGGGAGAAAGUGGGGGAUCUUCGGACCUCACGCUAUCAGAUGAGCCUAGGUCGGAUUAGCUAGUUGGUGGGGUAAAGGCCUACCAAGGCGACGAUCCGUAACUGGUCUGAGAGGAUGAUCAGUCACACUGGAACUGAGACACGGUCCAGACUCCUACGGGAGGCAGCAGUGGGGAAUAUUGGACAAUGGGCGAAAGCCUGUUCCAGCCAUGCCGCGUGUGUGAAGAAGGUCUUCGGAUUGUAAAGCACUUUAAGUUGGGAGGAAGGGCAGUAAGUUAAUACCUUGCUGUUUUGACGUUACCAACAGAAUAAGCACCGGCUAACUUCG